rnacentral:misc_RNA from 1 species
CACAAACAAAAAUAUAAGCGCACAGCCUUCCGCUUCUUAAAAAAAGAAGAGUCAGAAGAAGAAGAAACUCUUCUGCACAAACAAAAACCUGCACAGAAUCAGAAGUAAAUUAUACCCUUUUGCCUCUAAUUUCUGUUUUCUCAUCCUCUCUAAUUCAGAAACUGAGAGGUGAAACAGAGGACGCUGUAUCUUUGAGUUGCUUGCUGUGAG